rnacentral:rRNA from 1 species
GGACGAACGCUGGCGGCGUGCUUAACACAUGCAAGUCGAACGGAAAGGCCCUGCUUUUGUGGGGUGCUCGAGUGGCGAACGGGUGAGUAACACGUGAGUAACCUGCCCUUGACUUUGGGAUAACUUCAGGAAACUGGGGCUAAUACCGGAUAGGAGCUCCUGCUGCAUGGUGGGGGUUGGAAAGUUUCGGCGGUUGGGGAUGGACUCGCGGCUUAUCAGCUUGUUGGUGGGGUAGUGGCUUACCAAGGCUUUGACGGGUAGCCGGCCUGAGAGGGUGACCGGCCACAUUGGGACCGAGAUACGGCCCAGACUCCUACGGGAGGCAGCAGUGGGGAAUAUUGCACAAUGGGCGGAAGCCUGAUGCAGCAACGCCGCGUGCGGGAUGACGGCCUUCGGGUUGUAAACCGCUUUCGCCUGUGACGAAGCGUGAGUGACGGUAAUGGGUAAAGAAGCACCGGCUAACUACGUG